rnacentral:rRNA from 3 species
AGUCGAGCGAAUGGAUUGAGAGCUUGCUCUCAAGAAGUUAGCGGCGGACGGGUGAGUAACACGUGGGUAACCUGCCCAUAAGACUGGGAUAACUCCGGGAAACCGGGGCUAAUACCGGAUAACAUUUUGAACUGCAUGGUUCGAAAUUGAAAGGCGGCUUCGGCUGUCACUUAUGGAUGGACCCGCGUCGCAUUAGCUAGUUGGUGAGGUAACGGCUCACCAAGGCAACGAUGCGUAGCCGACCUGAGAGGGUGAUCGGCCACACUGGGACUGAGACACGGCCCAGACUCCUACGGGAGGCAGCAGUAGGGAAUCUUCCGCAAUGGACGAAAGUCUGACGGAGCAACGCCGCGUGAGUGAUGAAGGCUUUCGGGUCGUAAAACUCUGUUGUUAGGGAAGAACAAGUGCUAGUUGAAUAAGCUGGCACCUUGACGGUACCUAACCAGAAAGCCACGGCUAACUACGUGCCAGCAGCCGCGGUAAUACGUAGGUGGCAAGCGUUAUCCGGAAUUAUUGGGCGUAAAGCGCGCGCAGGUGGUUUCUUAAGUCUGAUGUGAAAGCCCACGGCUCAACCGUGGAGGGUCAUUGGAAA